CCUACGGGGGGCAGCAGUGAGGAAUAUUGGUCAAUGGCCGCAGGGCUGAACCAGCCAAGUCGCGUGAGGGAUGACGGUCCUAUGGAUUGUAAACCUCUUUUGUCAGGGAGCAAAGGGCGCCACGUGUGGCGCUUUGCGAGUACCUGAAGAAAAAGCAUCGGCUAACUCCGUGCCAGCAGCCGCGGUAAUACGGAGGAUGCGAGCGUUCUCCGGAUUUAUUGGGUUUAAAGGGUGCGCAGGCGGAAUGUCAAGUCAGCGGUAAAAUUUCGGGGCUCAACCCCGUCGUGCCGUUGAAACUGGCGUUCUUGAGUGAGCGAGAAGUAUGCGGAAUGCGUGGUGUAGCGGUGAAAUGCAUAGAUAUCACGCAGAACUCCGAUUGCGAAGGCAGCAUACCGGCGCUCAACUGACGCUCAUGCACGAAAGCGUGGGUAUCGAACAGGAUUAGAUACCCCAGUAGUC
rnacentral:rRNA from 1 species